CCUACGGGAGGCUGCAGUAGGGAAUAUUGCUCAAUGGGGGAAACCCUGAAGCAGCAACGCCGCGUGGAGGAUGAAGGUUUUCGGAUUGUAAACUCCUUUUGUUAGAGAAGAUAAUGACGGUAUCUAACGAAUAAGCACCGGCUAACUCCGUGCCAGCAGCCGCGGUAAUACGGAGGGUGCACGCGUUACUCGGAAUCACUGGGCGUAAAGAGCGCGUAGGCGGGAUAGCAAGUCAGAUGUGAAAUCCUAUGGGUUAAACAUAGAACUGCAUUUGAAACUGUUAUUCUAGAGUAUGGGAGAUGUAGGUGGAAUUCUAGGUGUAGGGGUGAAAUGCGUAGAGAUAAAGAAGAAUACUCAUGGCGAAGGCGACCUGCUAGAACAUAACUGACGCUGAUGGGCGAAAGCGUGGGGAGCAAACAGGAUUAGAUACCCGGGUAGUC
rnacentral:rRNA from 1 species